UACGUAGGGUGCAAGCGUUGUCCGGAAUUAUUGGGCGUAAAGAGCGUGUAGGCGGCCAGGUAGGUCUGCUGUGAAAACUCGAGGCUCAACCUCGAGACGUCGGCGGAAACCAUCUGGCUAGAGUCCGGAAGAGGAGAGUGGAAUUCCUGGUGUAGCGGUGAAAUGCGCAGAUAUCGGGAGGAACACCAAUGGCGAAGGCAGCUCGCUGGGACGUUACUGACGCUGAGACGCGAAAGCGUGGGGAGCAAACAGGG
rnacentral:rRNA from 1 species